rnacentral:misc_RNA from 1 species
AAACUCGGAGCAAGGAAACGCCGACUUGUUUUUUUCGAGUUUCUGCACGUUGUGACAGUCGUCUCGCAUUGUUCCACGCAAUGUUAGGCACCAUCUGUUUUAGCGGUUUUUUGUUCCGCGACCAAUAUCUUCUACGCACUGUUUGUUCGUGCGGCGAGAGGGCUUCGUGCUCGAUUGUCGUGCGGCUAAACCGUUUGGUGAUGUUGUUUCAACGGCGCGGCCGUCAGGGACGUUCGGAUGAGAAUGUUUGGAGUCCUGGCUGCGGUUUUGUUGAGCUUCGUCGUGAAGCCUGCGGGCAGUGUUGUCGGAAUUGGUUGA